AAACUACUAAAAAUCAAAGAU
rnacentral:miRNA from 2 species